GCCUGGUUAACUCAAUUGGUAGAGCGCUCCGCUGGAAAUGGAGUGAUGACGGGUGCGAUCCCCGGACCAGACG
rnacentral:tRNA from 2 species